CGAACUCACUUGUUCUUUAAAUAAGGACUAGUAUGAAAGGCAUCACGAGGAUUAUACUGUCUCCCUCCUUUAAUUAGUGAAACUGAUCUCCCCGUGAAGAAGCGGGGAUUAUUUUAUAAGACGAGAAGACCCUAUGGAGCUUUAAACUUACACCACAUACCUUAAACAAUUUCAUAAAAAAUAGGUAAAGCUUGUGUUCCGGUUUUCGGUUGGGGUGACCACGGAGCAAAACAAAACCUCCAUGCUGAAAAGAUUUUUCUUAAUCCAAGAACAACAUUUCAAAGAAUCAGAAUACUGACAUAAUUGAUCCAAACAAUUUGAUCAACGAACCAAGUUACCCUAGGGAUAACAGCGCAAUCCAUUUCAAGAGCUCAUAUCGACAAAUGGGUUUACGACCUCGAUGUUGGAUCAGGGUAUCCCAGUGGUGCAGCCGCUACUA
rnacentral:rRNA from 2 species